rnacentral:sRNA from 1 species
GCCGGGUGUGGUGGCGCACACCUAUAAUCCCAGUGGCUCUGGAGGCUGAGGCAGGAGGAUCACGAGUUCAAGCCAGCUUCAGCAAAAGCAAGGUGCUAAGCAACUCAGUGAGACCCUGUCUCUA